rnacentral:lncRNA from 1 species
AUUGUCAGAUGGAUGAAGAAAAUAUGAAAAAAGCUGAUCAAUAUUAGAGGACAUUUGUAUUUCAGUCAUGACUAAUAGCUAGAAUUUUCAAGGAAGAAGAUGCAUGAGUAGAGUAUUGAAGCAUAUGUAAUGUACCGAAUUUUAAUAUAAAAAUAAGUAUAAAUAAAAAUAGUGUAAGAUACUAUUUUUAUUGGACUUAAAGAAGUGAAAUAUAAGCCGGAAAUGACUUGUGCUGAAAUUGGAAUGAAAACAAAAGAUUUAGAAUUUUCUGUAAGAAACGAGGCUGAUCUUUUAGCAGAAAAUUCACAGUGUCAGAAAAUUAUGAAAAUUUGAGAAUAUAUUAGAAUUAUUUUUAUGAGGCUAGAUUUAAAGUUUCAUGUCAUUCCGACGCCUGAAAAGUGAAAAACAAAAUCUGACUGCUAUCUUCUAGAGAUUUUAGUCGGUAGAGCUUUCGGUGACAAAAAAUAGCCCAAACUGAGAAGUUAAGAUUUCGUUCUUCUUGUUAAUUUAAACCGAAUCUGAUUGUGAAAUUUGAGCUUAAACGAACAUUCAGAAGGGUUCCGACGAAAAGUAUUAGAUUCUGAACCGCUAAACUGAAAAUUUUAGAGUGUGUUGGGAGGGCCUAUAUGAAA